AUUGAACGCUGGCGGCAUGCCUUACACAUGCAAGUCGAACGGUAACGCGGGGCAACCUGGCGACGAGUGGCGAACGGGUGAGUAAUGCAUCGGAACGUGCCCAGUAGUGGGGGAUAGCCCGGCGAAAGCCGGAUUAAUACCGCAUACGACCUACGGGUGAAAGCGGGGGAUCGCAAGACCUCGCGCUAUUGGAGCGGCCGAUGUCAGAUUAGGUAGUUGGUGGGGUAAAGGCCUACCAAGCCUACGAUCUGUAGCUGGUCUGAGAGGACGACCGGCCACACUGGGACUGAGACACGGCCCAGACUCCUACGGGAGGCAGCAGUGGGGAAUUUUGGACAAUGGGGGCAACCCUGAUCCAGCCAUGCCGCGUGCGGGAAGAAGGCCUUCGGGUUGUAAACCGCUUUUGUCGGGGAAGAAAUCCUCCGGGCUAAUACCCCGGGGGGAUGACGGUACCCGGAGAAGAAGCCCCGGCUAACUUCGUGCCAGCCGCCGCGGUAAAAC
rnacentral:rRNA from 1 species